AAAGAUAGGGCCAGAAUAAGGAGCCUAAACCAGAGCUGCAGCUGGAGACAAGAGACCAUCUCUAAAGAGACAGGAGCAAGAUAAAAGGCGCAUUAAAGGAAAAACAGAAGAGGAGAGAACAAAGUCACGGGUCCCUAAGAAAAGUCAUCAUAGUGAAUCGUCAUUAAGAAAGAAUCUCGGGAGCUACACCAAAGCAGAGAAAAGGAGAAAACCAAGGCUGUUGAAGCUCCAAAGCUGAAGGCUGUUUCAGGAGCAACUGCAGUUUGGAUGAUGUCUCUGAACUGUGUGGAUGGCAACGCUCACACCAGAGCAUCACUGUCUGCAUCCUUCAUACGCCCACCCCCUCCACAGCCCUCAUCCUCACCCAGGGGCUCGUGAGUGUUGCGUGUGGUGCCAAGAAGGGGCCAGAGAGGCCGUAGCAGCAAGAGGCAAAAAUGAAAGGAUGUGUUCGAUGGGACUGUGGAGGCCAGGGAAGGAGAGCUGGAGAUGAUCGCACCUCUGUCACCCCAAAGAAAUCCCAUCCAAAGUAGCUAGGGAGUUUCAGUUCUCUAUCUUGCAAUUAGUAAGGCCAGCAGGACCCUUGUAGGGAACACUCAAACCAUAUACUUUCUGUUAGACAUAAAGACAUUAUGCAUUAGCAUAGCAUUAGACAUCUAACAUAAUUACUCAGAAUUGCCCCGUCCCCUGGAAGUAUCUGCGUGUAUCUCUGUUAACUGUGUAAAGAACUUAAUUUUGAUCCUCUGAAUCAUACCUAAAUGAGAUGUCCAAAUUUGGUGGUGUGAAUAACCCCCUAGGAGUAAUAAAUAAAACCCUGCAUAGCUCAGGAUUGCCAGGAGGUGUGUUUUGGUAGUAGUAAUGUUUACUGUUUCCAACUCAAUAAACAUUACUUUUAGAUUCAA